CACAGUGUGAGAGCAUCCUUCCAAUAGUAUGGACGAGAGAGACAGAAGCAAGAUGCAAUUGGACAACCUAGAAUUAACCAGCAGUUCUCCAAGGACAGAAAAGAAACGGCAUUCGGAAAGGAAGAGACAACCGAGGCAAGAGACAGAAAUGCUUGAGAAUCCAUCUGAAAAUCAAAGAGCUCACAUGGAAAACCAUAAACAGCCCUGCUCUUCGACCAAAGUGCAGGGGAGAACAAGUCAAGGAGUGGGUCUUCAAACUACCCCGAAUGACAACGAGGUUCUCCAAAAGACCAGACAUCGCGAAAAAUGCAAAAAAAUCGUGUUUGAGAAUCUGGCCAUGGUCAUGAAAAAAGAAGCUGCGAAGAAGAGGCUUGAGGAGAGAGCCCUAAGCAAAACAGUGGACGAACGAGAAUAUGAAAGGAAAAUGAAAGAAAAACAGAUGAAAAGACUAGCGGCGGCAUCUAAGUCUGUGGAUACCACGUCAGACUGCCAGACAAGAUCUGCAAACCACGGAAGGGAGAAAGGUUAUGCGACACAAACACAGGAGGCACAGACUUUCAGGAAAUCAGCUAAGAAAAACAUAGUACUCCCGCCUGCACAUCAGCAAACGACCAAAGAAGCUUUUGCCUAUGACAAACAGGACACACUCAGCACGGAUGACAAGCUGGAGUCCAACCAAACCUUUGAGAAGCUAGAUGCCCUUAAGCAGACGACUCCCUUAGACAGCUCUAACCUAGACUGUGCCCCAAGCGUAACACAGGGGGAAAGACAGCAGGGUGUCAGCGAGGAAAGGAACAGUGCUCAGUCUACAUUAGAUGUUCUACCAGAAGAAAGCGAGGCGUGCCUUUCUAAAAAGGGCAAGUCUCGCGAGCAACGUAAAAGAAUCGUGCAGGACCAAAUAGCAGAGCUAAGGAAGAAAGAAGCUGCCAGCCAGGCUCUUAUUGAAGAAAAACUAUUUAAAGACAUGGCAGAGAUGGAACUUGAGGGAGAAACACUCGACCAACGACAGUGGGAGAUAAAAGCUGCGAGGAGAAAGUCUCUGACUGCCGUAAGGGAAGACCAGAUUCAAUACAAAAAGCAGAAAAAAAUGGAAACAGAUGAGGCUGAAAGGAAAGAGAGGCAAGCCUUGUUGGAAUCCGACAGGGUGUAUCAAGUUGAGCAAACUGAAAAAAGGAGACAAAAAACUCCUAAGUUGAGCCACGCUAACUCCAACACGUCUGGAAAAGAAAAACACGACCCAUGGUUGGACAGACCUCUUUCACACGCAAAAGAGCGGAAAUCCAGCGGGAAGGAUAAAACUGUAGUUGACCAAAGCACAAAUGACCAAAACAUACAGAGGGAAACAUGUGGGCUAAGGGAAGGCAGUAAAUCUAAGUUAGAGAUUCUCGAACACGACGGUGAGAAGUACACUCCUGAAAAGGUUAAGUAUCGUGAGAAAUGCAAGAAAAUCGUGUGUGACACAAUGGUAGACAUAAGGGAGAAAGAAGCUGCCAAGGUGGCUGUUGUGCAGGAAAAUCUACGGAGAGCAUUGGAAGAGCAGGAGUUUGCACAAGAAACACGGGACAGGAAAGAGAGAGAGAAAAGUGCCACAAUGAGAAAGGAUCUGACUGAAACAUGGGUUUCCCAAAUACAGGCUAAAAAGCAGAAAAAAAUGGAAACGGAUGAGGCUGAAAGGAAAGCGAGGCAAGCCUUGUUGGAAUCUGACAGGUUGUAUCAAGUUGAGCAAAGUGAAAAGAGGAGACAAAAGACACCUAAGUUGAGCCACGCUAACUCCAACACGGACUCUCGAAAAGAAAAACGCGACCCGUGGUUGGACAGACCUCGUUCACACACAAAAGAGCGGAAAUCCAGCGCGCAGGAUCAAAACUUACAGACAGAAACAUGUGAGAGUCGUAGCGGGCAAAGGGAAGGCAGUAAAUCUAAGUUAGAGAUUCUCGAACACGACGGUGAGAAGUACACUCCUGAAAAGGUUAAGUAUCGUGAGAAAUGCAAGAAAAUCGUGUGUGACACAAUGGUAGACAUAAGGGAGAAAGAAGCUGCCAAGGUGGCUGUUGUGCAGGAAAAUCUACGGAAAGCAUUGGAAGAGCAGGAGUUUGCACAAGAAACACGGGACAGGAAAGAGAGAGAGAAAAGUGCCACAAUGAGAAAGGAUCUGACUGAAACAUGGGUUUCCCAAAUACAGGCUAAAAAGCAGAAAAAAAUGGAAACGGAUGAGGCUGAAAGGACAGAGAGGCAAGCCUUGUUGGAAUCUGACAGGUUGUAUCAAAUUCAGCAAAGUGAAAAGAGGAGACAAAAGACUCCUAAGUUGAGCCACGCUAACUCCAACACGGACUCUCGAAAAGAAAAACGCGACCCGUGGUUGGACAGACCUCAUUCACACACAAAAGAGCAGAAACCCAGCGCGCAGGAUCAAAACUUACAGACAGAAACAUGUGAGAGUCGUAGCGGGCAAAGGGAAGGCAGUAAAUCUAAGUUAGAGAUUCUCGAACACGACGGUGAGAAGUACACUCCUGAAAAGGUUAAGUCUCGUGAGAAAUGCAAGAAAAUCGUGUGUGACACAAUGGUAGACAUAAGGGAGAAAGAAGCUGCCAAGGUGGCUGUUGUGCAGGAAAAUCUACGGAAAGCAUUGGAAGAGCAGGAGUUUGCACAAGAAACACGGGACAGGAAAGAGAGAGAGAAAAGUGCCACAAUGAGAAAGGAUCUGACUGAAACAUGGGUUUCCCAAAUACAGGCUAAAAAGCAGAAAAAAAUGGAAACGGAUGAGGCUGAAAGGAAAGCGAGGCAAGCCUUGUUGGAAUCUGACAGGUUGUAUCAAAUUCAGCAAAGUGAAAAGAGGAGACAAAAAACUUUCCAGGUGUGUGAGGCUACCUCCACCCAGGAUUUUCCAAAAGAUAAACAUGACAGACAGCUGAAAGAAUCGGAUGAAAAACUCAGCAAGCAGGAGGAAUUGGAGUUGGAGCAACUGAUGCAAGACCAAUUCAGUGAGGAGGAUGAAGAUUUUGACAAAUUCGAGUUUCUACAGGACAACGUCCCUGAAAGCGUCAAAAGUCGUGAGAGACGUACCAAAAGGGUGAGUGAAGAAUUAGCACUUAUAAGGAAGAGAGAAGCUGCAGAGAUGGCCCUCCUGGAGGAAAACCUAUUGAGAAAUAUGGAAAAUCAGGAAGCUGCGGCGACAGCACGUGAGACACAGGAGAAGGAGAAAAAAGCUGCGAUCGGCAAGGUCCUAACUGAGGCUUGGGACUACCAAGUACAAUACAAAGAGCAGCAGAAAAAGGAACGCUGUGAGACUGAAUGCAAAGAGAGGCGCUCCUUAAUUGAAUUGGACAGGUUGUAUGAAAUUGAAAAACAGAAAAGGAUCGAGCUGCAGAAGAAAAAAGCUUCCGUUAAUAGGGAAAAGGACAUCGCUCUUGCAGAAUCAAGACGGGCCAAAAUUAGAAAUCAGUCACACGGAGGAAUGAAAGGGGCAUUUCCUCCCUUGAUGCCUCUGAAAUCACUGCAACGCGGGGCCACGUCUGAUGCUAAUGUCAAACACGUUGACCCACUUCCAAAACCUGGCCCUCUUUUACAGAGAAGGCACAAUUUAGCCAACAGACCCCCACCAUCCCCCGAACCUCCUAUACCUAAUAGGAUUGUAUUGGAUGGUAACAGCACCGCCAGUAUAAAGACACCUUUUAAACUCCCAUCUAUUGACGGCCAUGUAAGGAAAACCCCUAUGCCGUUCUUCGAAUUUAGUAGACCUCGGAGGUCUGUAUUCAAGGAGGACAGCACUGCCACUGAAAAGACGACCUUAAAACUCCCACCUAUUCACUCCCCUCCAAGUAGACCUGCCAGGUCUAGAGGCCAAAAGACUAAUCAAGGGAGGCUUUGAUAAGCUGCUGAUGCAUUUAAUCAUUGGUAUUCAGCACGCUCAAAGCACUGGAUGCAGAGGUUCCUCAAACCACCGUUCCUUUUUCUCCACCUCUGCAUGUCAGUGACCCCCAUUCCUUCAUUUUAUAUAAUUUAUCUCAGCUGAAACUGGCUUUGUUAGUUAAAUCAGUACUCCUUCCCAACACACAGGUUCUCUCCGGGUACUCCGGCUUUUCCACAAAAAGCACACAGCCUGCAUCUUAGGACUAUUGUAAACCUUUAAAGGUUCCUAGUCGUGUGCCUGGUUGUUUGUUUCUGUUUCUGUAUGAUAGAUUGUUGACUUAUCCAUUUGAAGGUAAGAACCAGCCCCCUCCCUUUGA